AGUGAACGCUGGCGGUAGGCCUAACACAUGCAAGUCGAACGGCAGCACAGUAAGAGCUUGCUCUUACGGGUGGCGAGUGGCGGACGGGUGAGGAAUACAUCGGAAUCUACUUUUUCGUGGGGGAUAACGUAGGGAAACUUACGCUAAUACCGCAUACGACCUACGGGUGAAAGCAGGGGAUCUUCGGACCUUGCGCGUUUGAAUGAGCCUAUGUCGGAUUAGCUAGUUGGCGGGGUAAAGGCCCACCAAGGCGACGAUCCGUAGCUGGUCUGAUAGGAUGAUCAGCCACACUGGAACUGAGACACGGUCCAGACUACUACGGGAGGCAGCAGUGGGGAAUAUUGGACAAUGGGCGAAAGCCUGAUCCAGCAAUACCGCGUGGGUGAAGAAGGCCUUCGGGUUGUAAAGCCCUUUUGUUGGGAAAGAAAAGAAGCAGGUUAAUACCCCGCUGUUCUGACGGUACCCAAAGAAUAAGCACCGGCUAACUUCGUG
rnacentral:rRNA from 1 species